CCGGGGCUGAGACACGGCCCGGACUCCUACGGGAGGCAGCAGUGGGGAAUAUUGGACAAUGGGGGAAACCCUGAUCCAGCCAUGCCGCGUGUGUGAAGAAGGCCUUCUGGUUGUAAAGCACUUUAAGCAGUGAAGAAGACUCUUCGGUUAAUACCCGGAGACGAUGACAUUAGCUGCAGAAUAAGCACCGGCUAACUCUG
rnacentral:rRNA from 1 species